CCGACAAUGUAACAGGUUUAUCGUAGUUUAUUAGCUCCACCAGCCAGUAAGUGACAUAUUUUAAUGUUCCUUUCCAACGAUAAUUUAUUUUUUGUUUCGAAUCUUCAUAGAUUUUUAAAUCUGCAGCUAGUAAGCCUGUUUCCUCUUCGGUUUCACGGAGCGCGGUUGCAAUUUCUGUCUCGCGGCGCAUAACACCACCUGUGACCAGUGUAUUCAUAAGUAUAAGUUACGCAAGGAGUGGGGGCUCAGACGACGCAUGCGCACACGUCCCGUACAUCCGCGUGGGGCGCGUCUACCGCGCGAACGUUAUAGUUCUGAACCACGAUCAGAGGCCUUGCGUCGCGUCGCGUACGUAGUUAAGAAUUAUAAUGCUCACCCGGUAGACGCACGAUUCCGUUGUUCGGGACUCCAGACGCAUGCGCCACCAUCCCACUUCUUGCAUGAUUUCUUUCCUUCCAUGCGCCGUCUAUGACAAUAAUGUUACAGAAAAGCCGAACACAAUUCUGGCUCGCAUCUGUCUUUCGAUAGAUGUGGUGCGAGCACAAUUUUAUGCAGUCUCAAAAAAGCACAUUGGAAGUUAUGGCAUCAUGAUCGCGGAAAUACAAGACGUGGACAAAUGACAAACGUGAUACAAACCUUUUGGCGGUGACCAAUGAUGCCGACGGCCCGAAGAUUGCAAUAGCAGAUACUCGAUGUCGCCCUGAUUGCGACGGAACACAAUGAAGCCGCAAGAUCGACGUACCAUCCUAUCUUCGAUUCUUUCAAGCUUUUCCACGUAAUUCGUAACAAAAGUAUAGAGGAUAGCUAGCGCUGGUGUUACACUAGGUGUGGAAUAACUGCAGUAAUUUGACGUAGAACAUUUUUCAUAUCUUUCUCGUAUCUAUAAUUUCUUUAGAUAAUUUGAUAGAUUGUAAGCUGUCUCGAGAUAAUAGAUAAAUUCUGGAUUUAUAUAAACACAAAACUUUAAUCUAGUAUUAUACUUCCUAUUUGUACAAAUAUGUUGCUUCUGUUUCGUAUUAUAUCAUACAUAUUCCCAACUACAGAUAAGAUAGCAAAUGUCUGUAUCAAAGACUUAUAUAGACCUAGAUGACUAAAGUUGUAUCUUUUUAAUAAAAAAAAAAACAUUAAAUAAAUAAGUAUAACGUAUCUA